rnacentral:lncRNA from 1 species
CCAAGGCUGAGGAGGGAGCUGGGACUCGAGACCCUGCUCCACCCUGCCGGCUCCCGCUCGGCCCCAUUGCCUGGCAAGCCCCGGCAUCUUCGACCCACGUCCGUGGCGCUGCCUGGGUAGGAACGCGCCUGAAGACCGCGCAGGACACUACCACUGAGCAUCCUGGGUUUGAUGCAGACAUCCAGAUCUGAUGAGGCAUGGCUGCCCCGGGAUUACUGGGCUCGGACGGGAGCAGUGGUAGGAAGGAUCCUAUGUAAGUCAUGUGAGACAUAGAAUGUUCAGAUCAACUGAAGCUGAAACAAGCCUUUGGCAUCAUAUAUAACCCAGAAAGGGACACAGCUGAUCCCAGAGGACUCAAGGCUAUGUCAAAGGUGCAGAAGAAUCGAGUUGGAAAGACCAGCAGGAGACAGUCAGAGUAAGGUUCCUUGAAUGCUUGGUUUAUGUGCCUGGCUGGAGGAGACACCCAUGGCCUUGCAGAGGGAGCGAUCUGGUGGGAAAGCAGACAAAACCCACCCCAGGCCCGUGGUUUCCCUGCAACAAGCCCAGUGGCUUUCUGGAGGACACUUUUCCUGGAGGAAGUGAUUCAAGAGCAGCAUACGCCAGGCUCUAUGGAAUGUUGGGUGAGCUGCUUGAGGACCUCCAAGGCCUGUCCCACAGUCUUCCAGCCUCCGACUCUCCGGCCCUCAGUGUG